rnacentral:lncRNA from 1 species
GGUCUUUCUCACACUCGCACAGCAGGCAUGCAUAAGUGGCAAAAUAACUUGCUAAAGAAAGGAUGAAGGAAGUUGACUUGGCCAGAAGUAAGAACUGACUGCAACUGUCUUAGGAAAAGUCCACCAAAGAUCAGCGUUGACUGUGCUGGACGUUUGAAUACAUCUGUGACCACUGCAGGCUGAGCGCCUCCUGAGUUGCUGAAGUCUCCUGUGUUCACUUCUGUUGCCUGACAGUAGGGGCUCUCAAACACAGUCUGGAGGAAAGGUAUGGCAGGAUUUUACAAAUUGUG